CUUUUUGCCAUUUCUUGGGCCGCUCCCUCGGCGUAUGGAGGUUCCCAGGCUAGGGGUCUCAUCGGAGCUGUGGCUGCCAGCCUACGCCAGAGCCACAGCAACACAGGAUCCGAGCCGAGUCUGCGACCGACACCACAACUCAAGGCAACACCGGAUCCUUAACCCACUGAACAAGGCCAGGGAUCAAACUCACAACCUCAUGGUUCCUAGUCAGAUUUGUUAACCACUGUGCCACGACUGGAACUCCAAAGGAAAAGUUCUUGAAGGAAAUGAAAGUGCUACUCGGGUGAACAUACAAAUGAUAAGAAAGUAAAACAGCUUUUUCUCUGAUAGGGAGAGAGUGUAAUGGUCUGGAUAGAAAAUCAAACCAGACACAAAAUUCCCUUAAAGCCAAAACUUAAUCCAGAGCAAGACCCUAACUCUUUUCAUCUCUUUGAAGGUGGAGAGAGGUGAGGAAGCUACAGAAGAAAAGUCUGAAGCUAAAAGAGGUGGGUUCAUGAGAUUUAAGGAAAGAAGCCAUCUCCAAAACAUAAAAGCGUGUAAGGGAAAGCAGUAAGGGCUGAUGCAGAAGCUGCAGCAACUUAUCCAGAAGAUCCAGCUAAGAUAAUUCAUGAAGGUGGCUACACUAAACAACAGAUUUUCAAUGAAGAUAAAACAGCCUUCUGCUGGAAGAAGAUGCCAUCUAGGACCUUCAUAGCUCGCAAGGAGAAGUCAAGGCCUGGCUUCAAAGUUUCAAAAGACAAGCGGACUCUCAUUAGGAGCUGAUGCAGCUGGUGACUCUACGUUGCAGCCCACGCUUCUUUCACAUUUUGAAAAUCCUAGGCCCCUUAAGAAGUUUGCAACAUCUACUCUGCCUGUGCUCCAUAAAUGAAAAAAAUAAAGCCUGGAUCACAGCACAUCUGUUUCUAACAUGGUUUUCUGAAUAUCUUAAGCGCACUGUUGAGACCUACUGCCUGGGAAAAGAUUUCAAAUUAUUACUGCUACGGACAAGGUACCUGGUGACCCAAGAGCUCUGAGGAAGAGGUACACAUGUCGUUUCCAUGCCUGCCAACACAACAUGCAUUCUGCAGUCCACGGAUCAAGAAGUCAUUCUGACGUUCAAGUCUAACUAUUGAAGAAAUACAUUUUGUAAGGCCACAGACAGUUAUUCUUCUAGUGGAUCUGGACAAAGCAAAUUGAAAACUUCCUGGAAAGGAUUUUUACCACUCUAGAUGACAUCAUGACAUAGGAUAAGGUGAAGAAAACAUCAUUCACAGGAGUUUGAAAGAAAUGGAUUCCAGCCCUUCUGUGUGAGUUUGAGGGGCUCAAAACUUAGGGAAGGAAGAAACUGCAGAUGUGGUGGAAAUAGCAGGAGAACUAGAAUGAGGCAAGAAUAUAAAAUGGGGAAAAGACAGUCUUUUCAGCAAGUGGUGCUGGGAAAACUGAAGAGCCACAUGUAAAUCACUGAAACUGGAACACAACCUCACACCAUGCACAGAAAUAAACUAAAAAUGGCUUAAAGACUUAAAUGCAAGACAAGACAUCAUCAUACUCCCAGAAGAGAACAUAGGCAAAACACUCUCUGACAUCAACCAUACACAUCUCUUCUUAGGUCAGUCUCCCAAGGCAACAGAAAUAAAAGCAGAAAUAAACCAAUGGGACCUAAGCAAACUGCCAAGAUUUUGCACAGCAAAGGAAACCAUAAAAAACAUUCUUUUUUAAACUUGAAUGGAUGAAGCGUUGCUUCUUAAAGACAAGCAAAGAAAGUAGUGUCUUGAGAUAGAAUCGGCUCCUGUUGAAGAUGCUAUCAAGAGUGUUGAAAUGAUAAGAAAGGAUUUCGAACAUGACCUUCACUUCGUUGGUAAAGCAGAGGCAGGCUGUGUGAGGAUUGACACCAGUCUUGCAAGUUCUACUGUGGGUAAAAUUAUCAUAUGGCACUGCACGCUACAGAGAAAUCAUGAAAGGAAGAAUCAAUCAUUAUGGUAAAACUUCACCAUCGUUGUGUUUUACGAAAACUGCCACAGCUGCCCCCAACCCCCAGUAGUCAUUAACAAACAUCAAGGCAAGACCCUCCACCAGCAAAAAGAUCACAACCUGUUGAAGGUUCAGGUGACAGUUAUGGCAUGUCUUAGCAAUGACGUAUUUUUAAAUUAAGGUACAUUUGCUGUUUUUUCAGACAUAACAGACUACACUUACGAGAACACAGUACAGUGUAAACAUACUUUUAUGUGCACUGGGAAAUCAAAAAACUUGUGUGGCUCACCUUGUAGUGAUAGUCACUUUAUGGUACUGUUUGUUUUACGCUGGUGGCCUGAAACCAAAUCUAUGCUAUCUCAGAGGAUACUAUACAAAAAUAGCCCCCGUAUCUUGAGAUAGAGCUAGGCCUCCCCAAGUCAAAGAAAGAACCUCUUUGAAAAAGCAGGCUUCAUCAUGUAUAUUCUAGGGCUACCCUCUGAGCCAGAGUUUAUCAGAUGAGCCCAUAUAGUAUGCCAAGCCCCUACUCUUUAGGGAGGCAGGAAAGGAGGAAUUAGAAUGUCAGUAACUAACAUGGGACACAGGGCACGGAUAGGCUACUGUGUUAAAAGCUCCUACCUAUUCUGUCUCACCUGAUCCUAAGGACCUAUUUUAGGGCCUUCCAGUUUAUUGAUGAGAGGUUAGAAGAAACUUGCCCAAGUUACACAGUAAGUGGAUUCUAACCCAGGCAACUCUUACAUCCAUUGCCUGGGCUUUGAGCCACUCUACCACGCUGCCUGCUCCUUUAGAUUCUGGCCAUGGUCCCCACAGCACCGAUACUGGGUUCCAGUGCUAUAGGAAGGAACCAAAGGCAAGGCAGUUCAAGGCCCUUCUCUGGAAAUGGAGAUCAAGGCCUGAAACCAAAAGAGCCUGAGACCCCUUUAGUGACUUAUGCCUCAAAAAAGCCUCCAAGUUACAUCAACAAGUCAUGCUGUCAUCUCUCUAGAAUGAAAGUGAAUUCCACCACCUCAGCUGCUCUUGGUGCCACAUUGACUUACAUUAGAAAAGAUACAGGGGAGUUCCCAUCAUGGCGCAGUGGAGAUGAAUCCGACUGGGAGCCAUGAGGUUGUGGGUUCGAUCCCUGACCUUGCUCAGUGGGUUGAGGAUCCGGCAUUGCCAUGAGCUGUGAUGUAGGUUGCAAAUGUGGCUCAGAUCUAGCAUUGCUGUGGCAUAAGCCAGCAGCUGCAGCUCCAAUUUGACCCCUAGCCUGGGAACUUCCUCAUGCCUCGGGUGCAGCCCUAAAAAGAAAAAAAAAAAUUUAAAUUAAAUUAAAAUAAAAUACUUCCUACCUCUACUCACAGCUUCCCAACAGUCCCUCACCUCCCAGGCCACCUCAUUCUAUAUGCCCAGUGGCGCUCAAGCAUAUGAUGCUGCUAUAACUCUUUCCUUCUGAGGUGCUAGAAUCUCAACCCAGCUGGAAGACGUGGACAUGGGAGGAAGCAGGAAUGCACACAGAUGGGAGGCACUGGACUCCAACAGUUUGUUUAUUCUUCACACCAACUCUGUAGUGUUGAUGAAACUCAAGUUGAGAGAGUCAAAACAGUCAAAACAUGCAAACGAGCUCAGGUCUACCCCCAGGCUGGUGGAUUCAAUUCACCCCCGACCACACUGCCUUCAGUGGCUAGAGGUAAGCUAGGGACAGACCAACUCCAACUGCCCAAGCCACGGGCACCUGCCAUUAAAUAUGGAGCAUCAACAGGUGUUUACUGCAGGGGUCAAAGUGGAAACAAGCCCCAUCCACCCAACCACCCAACUGUCCCCAUGCCAAUCUCUAGAACAUCCAAGGACGAAGAGGCCUUAAGAACAUCAUACAUGGCUCUUUCAAUUCAAAGCCAAGAAAACAGAGCCCCAAAAGAAAAAAAAAAAAAGCAUUUUCUGUGCCUCAGGUAUCAUUCCUAUGGUCCCUCAGGUCACCCUCACAACAGUCACGCUAUGAAGUCAUUUUGGGGUGCACCUGAUAAGCAUAUGCACGCACACAUGUAUGUAUUUUUUAAGCGACUCAAAGUUACAUAGUAUCUUGUCCAAGACCUAACAUGGAGUUAAACGGCAAAGUUCCAACAUCUCCCCCAUCCAAGCCCUAUGUCUCUAUCUGGUCCCCAGCAUUACGUAGCUUCUAACCACUGGGAGCCCCAGGACUCAUACAAAAUAGUAUGUAAUAAAGGGGUAAAAGUGGGUAACUAGACCAGUGGUUUCCAAAUGUGGCUAAUUUAUUAGCAUCAUCUGAGAUGUCUCCUAAAAAUACAGAUCAGCCUCCCCCCCUUGCAGGCUUCUGACUGUGUAGGAGACCUUGAAAUCUCUAUUUUUACAUACUUCCAGGGAUUCUGAUCAUCAGUCUGCCUUACUCCUUACAGAAAGAGAAAAACAAUGGCAGAUCAGUCAUGAAAGUCUAUCAGGAGCUGGGAUUUGAAUCAACAGAAUUUAAAGAGAGCAACACUGAAGAGGUGGCUAUAUCCAGGGAGCAUUGACAGUGAGAACGGUGGGUGAGCGUGGGGAGACAUGAUGGAGGGUGAUCAGGAGGGAUACACCAGGCAGAUAUCGUGGUCACACCUUGAGAGCAAGGAAACACAAUCAAAGUGGUACAGGAUAAAGCAAACAGCAGGUGAGGUGAGCAUCUGGGCCAGGAUGGACAAUGAUAAGGCUGUUGACGUAGGGCACAAGCUGGUAAGGCCCCAACAAAGAAACAUCUGAAGGGGAAUGCCACCUGGAUUGCCAGAAUGUGAGCUCCGAGGAGACAAAGGGGCUACCUGGUUUGCUCUCACCUUGAUCCUGAGCACGUAGGAGAUGCUGAAUAAACAUCGUGGAAUGAACAACACAUAGGUGCAUUCUGUGGCCAUCUAGUCAGCAAAGUCAACAAAGAUACCUCAUCAAGGAAUUGACGUCAAGACUCAAAUCCCAAAGCCUGGCAUUAAGAUGACAGUACUGGGAGCUCCCGCUGUGGCGCAACGGGAUGGGCAGCAUCUUGGGAGUGCUGGGAUUAGGGUUUGAUCCCCAACCCAGCAUAGUGUGGGAUAAGGAUCCGGGGUUGCCGCAGCUGCAGUUUAGUUUGCAAUGGUGGAUCUGAUCCCUGGUCUGGGAGAUCCAUAUGCC
rnacentral:lncRNA from 1 species